CCCCUAGAUGUUCUGGGCCGCACGCGCGCUACACUGAACAGUUCAACAAGUCUUAACCUUGGCCGAUAGGUCUGGGUAAUCUUUGAACGCUGUUCGUGAUUGGGAUAGACCUUUGCAAUUAUGGGUCUUCAACGAGGAAUUCCUAGUAAACGCAAGUCAUCAGCUUGCAUUGAUUACGUCCCUGCCCUUUGUACACACCGCCCGUCGCACCUACCGAUUGAAUGGUCCGGUGAAAUCUCGGGACGGCGGCUUGGUCGCUUGCGUCCGACUGCUGAAACUUGAUUAAACCAUAUCAUUNNGAGGAAGGUGAAGUCGUAACA
rnacentral:rRNA from 1 species